GACACGCUGGCGGCGUGGAUUAGGCAUGCAAGUCGAACGGUAGGAUACCUUCGGGUAUCUGAGAGUGGCGAACGGGUGAGUAACACGUAGGUGAUCUACCCUCAAGAUUGGGACAACCCAGGGAAACUUGGGCUAAUACCGGAUGAAAGCAGCAGUGAUGUUGUUUGAAAGGUGGCGUAAGCUGCCGUUUGGGGAUGAGCCUGCGCUCUAUUAGUUAGUUGGCGGGGUAAAGGCCCACCAAGGCGAUGAUAGAUAGGCGGCCUUAACGGGUGGUCGCCCACACUGGGAUUGAGAUACGGCCCAGACUCCUACGGGAGGCAGCAGUCGAGAAUAGUCUACAAUGGCCGAAAGGCUGAUAGUGCGACGCCGCGUGAACGAAGAAGCCCUUCGGGGUGUAAAGUUCUUUUAUAUGUGAGCAGUGCUUUCUAUGUGAACAGCAUGGGGAGAGAGAUAUUAGCAUAUGAAUAAGCAACGGCUAACUCCGUG
rnacentral:rRNA from 1 species